rnacentral:lncRNA from 10 species
ACUUCCUGGGCUCUGUGACUCUGACAAGGCACUGAAUUUAGCUGCUACUAUCAGUUAAGGCUCAGCUCAUAUGUAAUCAGUUCCAGGACCACCGGUCCCCAGGAAGAGGAUGGAGAAAUUGAAGCUCCAAAUGGCUAAGCAAUCUACCCAAGAUCACACAGCCAGAUUGGUGGCAUCUAAAAUUCGAACCCAGUCCUGAUGUGCUGAACUUCGCAUCUGGAUUUCUCAAAAUGUUAAGGAUUGAUAUGCUGGGCUGGUAAUUCCUUAUUGUGGAGGGCUUCUUUGUGUAUUAUAGGAUGUCUAGCCGUAUCCCUGGCUUCUAUUCUACAUCGUAGUAGCACCCCUACUCCUAUAUGACAACCAAAAAUAUCUCCAGAUAGUCAGUUGUCUCCUGAUGGGCAACAUCACCCCACUCCCAGUUGAUCACUACUGCCCUGUGUUAACAUAUGUUUUCUCAUAUAAUUCUCACAACAACCCUAUACACUAGGUGCCAUUAUCAUCCCCAUUUUGAAGAUGAAGAAAUGAAACCCAGAGAAAUUGGGAGUUGAUGAGGGUCACAAAGCUUGUAAAUGGCUCUCAUUUUUUCCUGGGUAUAAAGUGGUAGAACUAGUGAAGGUGAUGAGAGGCUGAAUAUUUCAGUGGUUGAUACCAGGCAAGUGCAACUCCGAAGUCUUGAUUUUAUUGCUGCUUUAUUAGGCAUUUGAAAAAUUUAGUGCUUAUGACACUAAUAACCAGGAGUAGGCUGUUAAAAUUCAAAUUCUUGAUAGAAUCAAAUUCAGUAGAUCUGCAGUGGGCACAGAAAUGUGUAUUAUAAAACAUAGCUACACUGACUGGCGGUGCUGUUGUCCAGGGAACCUAAGCGUGAAACAUGGAACAUUGUGCCCCUAAAAGAAAAUUUCGGGAGAAAGAAUGGAGAUGAUAAGCGGAAAGGAGAGGGUUUGGGAUGAGACCUGACGUGCAACUACUUGCACAAUUCAGUUUAACUGCCACACAAAGAGGGCACCGAAUAUGCAUUAUACCAAGUGACCUGCAAUGCUUGGAUGAGGGGUCUACUGUAGACCUUGGGAUGAUGCAUCCAGUGCCUUCAAAUCACUACUCACUCUUGGCUAGUGUUGAAUCCCAAGGCUGAGUGGGCUGCCUCCUUUGGAAGCUUAGUGCAUCCUGAGGUUCUAAAAAUGGUUACAGUGAAACAAAAACAGCUGUGUCAAUUUCCAAUUUCCGCUCUAUUCAGAUUCACACUCUGCCUCCUCUCCUCUCUUAGAGGCAGUGGGACACAGGCACACACAUGCACUCAUUCCACCUCCUUUCCUCCCUCAGGCGUGGAAGGACAUGAGCGUGCACACAAGCAGGCACACACAGACACACAUGUGCGCACUCUGCCGCCUCUCUCUCACUUACUUGAGUUCAUUUCCCCAUGGAGAGGGAAUGUUUCUAGUUUUCCAAAAAGGAAUGGCAAACAAGAGAAGCCACAAGAGCCUAGACUACAAUAAAAUGCUACAAUAUGCUUUCAAGCUGGAGCGACUAAAAAGCUGGGAAGAGAAAGCGGCAGUAUAAUGUCUAUUUUUAUCUUCAACUAUAAUCUACCCACUUGUAGUUUCAUAGCUGUCAGGAGGCAGAAAAGGACAUGGAAUCAGCCUACUGUUCUCUGCUCGCAUCCUACACCUGUGUGGCAUGAAUGUGGGUGUGUGUGCACAUACACAGAUACUUUAACACACUGUCAGAGGAUUUGAUUGAACUCACACCUGAAGCCAGAUUUUUUUUAGAAGUUGUCCCUUUGUUCAUUAUUUCUUGGCCAGGCACAGAAAAUUAAAAGCAGGUUAUUGAAACCCAUUUUCUGGGUCCUGAAGGAUAACUGUUAGCCUUGGAUGAUCAGAAGGAGCAGCUAUGCACCUAUUAGGCUUUGUCAGCCUUGGCCACACUGGGUUAUGGGGAUUCCUAACCUCCUGAACACUACUCACUAGUUUGGUGAUUAUCUAUCUCCUUGAGAGAAGGCAAGUAUGGCCCAAUGGAAAUAGCACAGCCUUGGAGUCGGGACACCUGAGCAUCUUGCCUCAUUCUGCCAUGUACAAACUCUGUGGCCUCCAGCAAGUUCCUUUACCACUCUGAACCACAGUGUCCUCAUCUGCAGAGGGACGACAACCCCUAUUUGAUGAUUGUUGGGAGAAUUCAAGAUAAUGUAUGCAAACAACUUACCUACACUUGUACAUUCAACUAUCAUCUUCUUCAAAGAAGAAACUGUGGCAGGUGCUAUUCCACAACCCAUGUUUAUGUUCAAGCUUUGUUGGAUUCCUGUUUGGGAAUUUCCUUCCGAGGCGGGCGGUGUCACAUUCAUUUGAAGUCAGUCAAUAAUGGAAGAUGUGGCCAAGGAGAAACAACUUCCUAUUCCUAUCCUGUAGCCUGCCAAGCCUGAGAAGCUACCUCCCUGAAAAUCUUCCUAGGACUCCUCAGCUUCCUCAAUGCUACCAAAUACCCACUAUCUCCAUAGACACACACAAAUCCCCUCCACCCACAAUGAUGUCCUGGUAAGCUACUUGGUAUCUUACUGCAACAAGUAUUCAAUGAAGAAGCUUGAUGUCUGUGCUAAAGAUGCCAUCCCCUGAGGUUCUGAAAGCUGUAAAUGCUCAAGCUCCUGCAGCAGUGCUACUCAGGGGAAGACAGCCCCCACUCUCCGUGUCACACUUUGUAUCUUGGGCACUAAAGCAGCCCUGCACUUAAUCCAUUCCUUCUGCUUUUGCAUGUAACCCCUGUCUACUCAGGGCUCAUGCAAAUAACUGGGUGAGGUUUACAGGCCUUGGUAAGCUCCUGUCCCAUCCCUCACAGAUGUGUCAAUUGCACUUCUUGCAAAACUGCUUGUCCAAGUUGCUAGCUUGUGGGCUGGUCUUCACCUGACAUUAGUACUUGGGCAGUUAGAGUUUUUGAUCUUUUAGACUAUAAGUUUUUAGUGAGUCAGGUUUUCUGUUUAAUUCUUCACAGCCAUUUUACUUCACAGUAAAAUGGUAUGGUUUUUGCUGUAGCAUACAGGAAUAUCUAGAAUAGUGGGGGUAUGGAAAAAAUGUUUCACAUUUAGUUUAGAGCUAGUCUUCUUUUACAUUUUCUUAUAUUCCAUUUUGUUAAUUUCUAGUAUUUGUUAAUUUCUGUCAUUUGUUUAUUUAACAUUUAUUGAGCUACUCUGAAGAGAUAACACUGUAUCCUGAACCAAUAAAUACGACUACUACAAUCUCUGCUUUCAAGUUUCUAUAAUUUUGGGGAGAAAGGGAGAUAAACACGAAAACAAAAUUCUGUUGAUGAGUGUAAAUGGAAACACUCAAACGUUUAUUUCCAGAGGAUAACUUAUGAAAGGAAAACAUUAAUCCCAGCCAGAUGAGGGGAUCAAAUGAUAUUUCUCACUUUCACUUUGCCACCCAAUCUCAGACACUAUCCUCUCUGGGCUGACAUUGACUUCCUCCAGCUGACAGAGGCAUCAUUAGUGAGUCCUGAGCUGCCAGUAUGGUCUAAAAACUAAAAUUUAACAGCCUCCUGAGCUGGGGAAAAUCUUAACUGAGAACUGCAAGGAAUAGCUGCCUUGGCACAAGCUGUGUGGAAUCUUAAAAGGGAGCAGGUUUUGAGGCCAAGAUUUAUGUUCAACAGCUAAUGCUUUAGAGACAGAGUUAUAUGUAGAAAAGCUGACUCCGUGUUUGUCCCUUACUGAUGCAAAUAAGAGUCGCAUCUGUAACCCAUGUUUUAUCUGUUUAUUUUUUUUAGACCCUGACAUAAUAUAAAAGGUGAGUAUUAAGGCCCACUAAACCUCUGAAGGUCUAUCUGCUUAUCCCAUUGCAG